rnacentral:rRNA from 1 species
GACGAACGCUGGCGGCGUGCUUAACACAUGCCAGUCGAACGGUGAAGCGCCUUCCUUUUUGGUGGGUGUGGAUGAGUGGCGAACGGGUGAGUAACACGUGAGUAACCUGCCCCCUUCUUCUGGAUAACCGCAUGAAAGUGUGGCUAAUACGGGAUAUUCUGGGUCUGUCGCAUGAUGGGUCUGGGAAAGAUAUUGUUUCGGUGGGGGAUGGGCUCGCGGCCUAUCAGCUUGUUGGUGGGGUGAUGGCCUACCAAGGCGGUGACGGGUAGCCGGCCUGAGAGGGUGGACGGUCACACUGGGACUGAGACACGGCCCAGACUCCUACGGGAGGCAGCAGUGGGGAAUAUUGCACAAUGGGCGCAAGCCUGAUGCAGCGACGCCGCGUGAGGGAUGGAGGCCUUCGGGUUGUGAACCUCUUUCGCCAGUGAAGCAGGCCUGCCUCGUUUGUGGGUGGGUUGACGGUAGCUGGAUAAGAAGCGCCGGCUAACUACGUG